rnacentral:rRNA from 1 species
UACGUAGGGGGCUAGCGUUGUCCGGAAUCAUUGGGCGUAAAGAGCGUGUAGGCGGCCCGGUAAGUCCGCUGUAAAAGUCAAAGGCUCAACCUUUGAAUGUCAGUGGAUACUGCCGGGCUAGAGUCCGGAAGAGGCGAGUGGAACUCCUGGUGUAGCGGUGAAAUGCGUAGAUAUCAGGAGGAACACCGGUGGUGUAGACGGCUUUCUGGACCGUAACUGACGCUGAGACACGAAAGCGUGGGUAGCAAACAGG